GCCGGGAUGGCGGAACUGGUAGACGCAGGGGACUUAAAAUCCCCCGGUGGUGACACUGUGCCGGUUCGACUCCGGCUCUCGGUA
rnacentral:tRNA from 1 species